CGGAGGGUGGAGCAGCCCGGAGUGCUCGCUUGCCUUGGAAGCAAGAGAUCGCAGGUUCGAAUCCUGCUCCUCCGACAA
rnacentral:tRNA from 1 species